CCCUUAGAUGUUCUGGGCCGCACGCGCGCUACACUGACGAAGUCAGCGAGCAUGUCCUACGCCGACAGGUGCGGGGAAUCUUGUCAAACUUCGUCGUGAUGGGGAUUGAUUAUUGAAAUUCUUGAUCAUCAACGAGGAAUUCCUAGUAAGCGCAAGUCAGCAGCUUGCGUUGAUUACGUCCCUGCCCUUUGUACACACCGCCCGUCGCUACUACCGAUUGAAUGGUUUAGUGAGAUCUUCGGAUUGGCGCCACUGCGGCUCAGCAAUGGGCUCGGUGGAUGCCGAAAAGUUGAUCAAACUUGAGCAUUUAGAGGAAGUAAAAGUCGUAACA
rnacentral:rRNA from 1 species